CCCUUAGAUGUUCUGGGCUGCACGCGCGCUACACUGACGCACGCAACAGGUGCCUGCUCCGAGAGGACUGGGUAAUCAUUUGAGUGUGCGUCGUGAUGGGGAUAGAAUAUUGUAAUUAUUACUCUUCAACGAGGAAUUCCUAGUAAGCGCCAGUCAGCAGCUUGCGCUGAUUACGUCCCUGACCUUUGUACACACCGCCCGUCGCUCCUACCGAUGGGUGAUCCGGUGAAUGAUUCGGACUUCAGCGGCUCCCCUGGGGUGCGCCGGAGAAAGUUUUGUGAACCUUAUCACUUGGAGGAAGGAGAAGUCGUAACA
rnacentral:rRNA from 1 species